GGGAUUGCCCCAGUAACGGCGAGUGAAGCGGCAAGAGCUCAAAUUUGAAAUCUGGCCCCUCCGGGGUCCGAGUUGUAAUUUGCAGAGGAUGCUUCGGGUGCGGCCCCUGUCUAAGUGCCCUGGAACGGGCCGUCAGAGAGGGUGAGAAUCCCGUCUUGGGCAGGGUGCCCGUGCCCGUGUGAAGCUCCUUCGACGAGUCGAGUUGUUUGGGAAUGCAGCUCUAAAUGGGUGGUAAAUUUCAUCUAAAGCUAAAUACCGGCCGGAGACCGAUAGCGCACAAGUAGAGUGAUCGAAAGAUGAAAAGCACUUUGAAAAGAGAGUUAAACAGCACGUGAAAUUGUUGAAAGGGAAGCGCUUGCGACCAGACUCGGCCUCGGGGUUCAGCCAGCAUUCGUGCUGGUGUACUUCCCCGGGGCCGGGCCAGCGUCGGUUCGGGCGGCCGGUCAAAGGCCCCAGGAAUGUAUCGUCCUCCGGGACGUCUUAUAGCCUGGGGUGCAAUGCGGCCAGCCUGGACCGAGGAACGCGCUUCGGCACGGACGCUGGCGUAAUGGUCACAAACGACCCGUCUUGAAACACGGACCAAGGAGUCUAACAUCUACGCGAGUGUUCGGGUGUCAAACCCGUACGCGCAGUGAAAGCGAACGGAGGUGGGAGCCCCUUUUGGGGCGCACCAUCGACCGAUCCUGAAGUCUUCGGAUGGAUUUGAGUACGAGCGUAGCUGUGGGGACCCGAAAGAUGGUGAACUAUGCCUGAAUAGGGUGAAGCCAGAGGAAACUCUGGUGGAGGCUCGCAGCGGUUCUGACGUGCAAAUCGAUCGUCAAAUUUGGGUAUAGGGGCGAAAGACUAAUCGANCCAUCGU
rnacentral:rRNA from 1 species